rnacentral:rRNA from 1 species
GCUCAGAUUGAACGCUGGCGGCAUGCCUUACACAUGCAAGUCGAACGGCAGCAUAGGAGCUUGCUCCUGAUGGCGAGUGGCGAACGGGUGAGUAAUAUAUCGGAACGUGCCCUAGAGUGGGGGAUAACUAGUCGAAAGAUUAGCUAAUACCGCAUACGAUCUACGGAUGAAAGUGGGGGAUCGCAAGACCUCAUGCUCCUGGAGCGGCCGAUAUCUGAUUAGCUAGUUGGUGGGGUAAAAGCCUACCAAGGCGACGAUCAGUAGCUGGUCUGAGAGGACGACCAGCCACACUGGGACUGAGACACGGCCCAGACUCCUACGGGAGGCAGCAGUGGGGAAUUUUGGACAAUGGGGGCAACCCUGAUCCAGCAAUGCCGCGUGAGUGAAGAAGGCCUUCGGGUUGUAAAGCUCUUUUGUCAGGGAAGAAACGGUUUUGGCUAAUAUCCAAGACUAAUGACGGUACCUGAAGAAUAAGCACCGGCUAACUACGUGCCAGCAGCCGCGGUAAUACGUAGGGUGCAAGCGUUAAUCGGAAUUACUGGGCGUAAAGCGUGCGCAGGCGGUUGUGUAAGACAGAUGUGAAAUCCCCGGGCUCAACCUGGGAAUUGCAUUUGUGACUGCACGGCUAGAGUGUGUCAGAGGGGGGUAGAAUUCCACGUGUAGCAGUGAAAUGCGUAGAUAUGUGGAGGAAUACCGAUGGCGAAGGCAGCCCCCUGGGAUAAC